AGUGACGGUACGUGCAGAAGAAGCGCCGGCUAACUACGUGCCAGCAGCCGCGGUAAUACGUAGGGCGCAAGCGUUGUCCGGGAAUUAUUGGGCGUAAAGAGCUCGUAGGCGGUUUGUCGCGUCUGCUGUGAAAGCCCGGGGCUUAACCCCGGGUGUGCAGUGGGUACGGGCAGACUUGAGUGCAGUAGGGGAGACUGGAACUCCUGGUGUAGCGGUGAAAUGCGCAGAUAUCAGGAAGAACACCGAUGGCGAAGGCAGGUCUCUGGGCUGUUACUGACGCUGAGGAGCGAAAGCAUGGGGAGCGAACAGGAUUAGAUACCCUGGUAGUCCAUGCCGUAAACGUUGGGCACUAGGUGUGGGGGACAUUCCACGUUUUCCGCGCCGUAGCUAACGCAUUAAGUGCCCCGCCUGGGGAGUACGGCCGCAAGGCUAAAACUCAAAGGAAUUGACGGGGGCCCGCACAAGCGGCGGAGCAUGCGGAUUAAUUCGAUGCAACGCGAAGAACCUUACCAAGGCUUGACAUACACCGGAUCGGCUCAGAGAUGAGUUUUCCUCCUUGUGGGGCUGGUGUACAGGUGGUGCAUGGUUGUCGUCAGCUCGUGUCGUGAGAUGUUGGGUUAAGUCCCGCAACGAGCGCAACCCUCGUUCUAUGUUGCCAGCACGUGAUGGUGGGGACUCAUAGGAGACUGCCGGGGUCAACUCGGAGGAAGGUGGGGAUGACGUCAAAUCAUCAUGCCCCUUAUGUCUUGGGCUUCACGCAUGCUACAAUGGCCAGUACAAUGGGUUGCGAUACCGUGAGGUGGAGCUAAUCCCAAAAAGCUGGUCUCAGUUCGGAUCGUGGUCUGCAACUCGACCACGUGAAGUCGGAGUCGCUAGUAAUCGCAGAUCAGCAACGCUGCGGUGAAUACGUUCCCGGGCCUUGUACACACCGCCCGUCAAGUCACGAAAGUUGGUAACACCCGAAGCCGGUGGCCUAACCCUUGUG
rnacentral:rRNA from 1 species